rnacentral:rRNA from 1 species
GAUGAACGCUGGCGGCGUGCCUAAUACAUGCAAGUCGAGCGAAGCGGGGACGGGUGAGUAACACGUGGAUAACCUCCUAUAAGACUGGGAUAACUUCGGGAAACCGGAGCUAAACCGGAACCUUAUAGAUGGAUCCGCGCUGCAUUAGCUGAUUGGUAAGGUAACGGCUUACAAAGGCAACGAGGCAUAGCCGACCUUAGAGGAGGACCGGCCACACUGGAACUGAGACACGGUCCAGACGCCUACGGGAGGCAGCAGUAGGGAAUCUUCCGCAAUGGGCGAAAGCCUGACGUAGCAACGCCGCGUGAGUGAUGAAGGUCUUCGGAUCGUAAAACUCUGUUAUUAGGGAAGCGGUACCUAAUCAGAAAGCCACGGCUAACUACGUGCCAGCAGCCGCGGUAAUUC